AUAUAUUGCGAUGCAAUAUGUGUGCAAAGCCCUUUUCAGCAUUUCCUAGGAUGUGAAGGCAAUUUAACAUUUACCUAAUCACAAGAGGAGUGUAGACUGUUGUUGCCCCAAAGAAGGAUGAGGAUGUCGUAACCAAGGUAUACCGCCUGCUUUCCAAUGACAGAUCGCUUACAUGAGUAAGGUGCAGAUUGAUCUGAAUCAAGAAGUAACUAUUCAUGGGUGAAGGGUGGGAAUGAUGAGAUGUUUUUCAGUUAUACAGUGGACUCAUAUAAGGUUCUUAGAAGAGAGGGUGUGGGAAGAAGAAGACGCGACCUCCAGCGAUGCGUUGCGCCGCAGCUACGUCCUCCCCCGAACAACCAGGGCAAACAAGCGAGGUGUACAAGAGAUGAGCUUCCGCUGCAAGGUUUUCUUUUCCUCCAACCAUUUAUUUUC